ensembl:lncRNA
AGAACUGUGCUCAGUGGGGAGGGGAGGGAGAGACAAAGAGAGAGAGAGAGAGAGAGAGAGAGAGAGAGAGAGAGAGAGAGAGAGGUAGAAGGAGAAGGAGAGAAGGGAAAGGACAGGAGGGAAGGAUAUGGACAAGGGAAUGGGAUAAGCAAGGGGGAGGGUUUGAGGGGAGGGGAUUGUGGGAGAAAAGGGAUAGGAGAUGGCUAGUAGAAGAGGUAGGGGGGAAGGGAGAGGAGUAGUAGAUAUAGAGAUAUAGGGAUAGAGAAUUUAGAUAGAGAUAGAUAUAGAGAAGCUAGAGAUAGAUAUAGAGCAGAUAGAGAUAGAGAUAGAAAAGAUAGAGAUAGAGAAGAUAUGGUUAUUAGAGCAUAGAUAGAGAUAGCUAUAGAAAAGAGAGAGUCAGACAUAGAGAAUAUAGAGAUUGAUAUAGACAUAGAGAAGACAGAGAUAGAUACAGAGAGAUAUAGUGGAUAGAGCUACAUAGAGAAGAUAAAGAUAGAUAUAGAUAAAGAGAAUAUAGAGAUAUAAAAAUAGUUAGAGAAGACAGAUGGAGAUAUAGAGAAGUUAGAGAUAGAUUUAGAGAAAGAUAGAGAAUUUACAGAGAGACUACUGUUAUAGAGAUAGAUAGAAAUAGAAAAAAUAUAGAGAAAAACAGAAGUAGAUGAGAGAGUGUGAAAGAGUGUGUGAUAGAGACAGAGAGGGCAAGGAAGAAAAGGCAGAGAGAGGGAGAGACAGAGAGGGAAAGAGACAGACUGUGUGUGAGAGUAUGUGUUUGUGUGUGUUCAUUCCACAACCUGGUAUUUCAUCAGAUAAGGGGUUGCCUUGUUUUCUCGUCUUCCAGAAUCUCUUACAGGAAGUACUUGGAUGACACCAUGGGGAAGAGAAAUUGGGUAUCUACCCACGACUCGGUCCAGGAGCAGCGGAAGAGUCUCUUCCAGAAGGCAAAAGCACUGCAAUUUCGAGAUCCCCCUCAACGUACUGUACCCUUGUCAGAGAGGAAUAAUGUGCAGGUGCGGGACCUCGAGGUCCAGGAGGAGAGCAUUUCUGUGAGGCCAAAAUUGGAAGAAAAGGACAUUGUGGCCCCAUCCUCAGUGAGGAGUUUGGCUUCUGAAGCUCCUAUGCUAAUAGUCAGUGUCUCAUAUAGAAUAAUUACCCAUAACUGCUCGGUUGUCUCAUUCAAGUACAAUUUUUUCAGAGUUUCAGCCCUUUACAGCUUCCCAUUGCCACUCUUCAUUUUUCAAAGACUUAUUUUCAUCUUGAGACUCCUUUCCUCCUUUGCAAGUUGAUUUACUUUUUUUUCUUUUAUGGUUUUCAUUUUUCUUGGAAGCAUUUUUUGGUUACAUUUUUCUCAAUUUCCUUUGAUUUUAAUUUCUUUUUUGAGUUCUACACAUUUCCUUUGCUUUUGCAGCCACUGCACAUGACUCUUCAUGGUAAAAGCUUUUUUUCCUUAAGUGUCUGAAGAUGAACUCUUGUCUUCCCUGUUCUGAUAAUCUAUUUCAGUGGUGGGGUUCUUCCUUGAAGGUGUGUUUUUUAAAAUGAGGAAUGAUUAUUGAGCUCUUUUAAUUGAUGUGGGGGGGAGUUCCUCAAGCUUCCAUUCAGAGUUGCCCUAUGACCAGGAACCCCAAACCUCUGACCAAGAACUCCAAGGCAAGAAUUCCCCUUGCCUGCAAGCACCAGCAGCCAGCAGGGUCCCGAUUCCACUGCCUCUGCACUCACCCCGGGUUGGAUCCUGGCCCAAUCCUCAGUGACACAACUGGACCUGGCUGCCAUCCUAGUCAGCUCAGCUUCACUCAGGCCUCCAGGACUCAGACCUCAACUUGACAAGAGAGUCUGGGAGAUGUAAGUCUCUGUGGUUCCUAUGAGGCUCUGGCCACUCCCAGCUUAGUCCAGGGGCCCCACUAUUAUCUGUGGAUUUAGCCUGGAGGUGUUGCCAUUUUAGAGAGAUUCAUCCCCAGUCCAAUGGCUUUUUUCACAACCCUUUGGGUUGUGUGUGAAGGACCCCCUGUGAUACCCCGAGUCUGAUUUGUAUGUCUAAAUUCUAAGUUACAAAUUUGUUCCAUUUGUGGGGGAAAUUGGGAGAACUCGAACACUUUCCUAGACCCCUCCAGAGCUGAAAAUUUAAAAGUAUCAAAAUAAACCUUAUUGUCCCCAACCUUUUUCCUUAGGCUUUUGGGAGGAGUGCUUGGGGACUGUUGUAGGAGGUGGUUUUGACUGGGGAGCCAAGGCUGGCUGGAAUUUUCUGGUCUUCUUCCAGGGACCACUGGCUUUGGCAGUACAGCAUGGGGCUUCUUGGGCUGGAGGACUUUCUACCUGGGGCCAAUUAGAGUAUUGGGAAACAACUUUGGGGAUGUCUUGGACUCACUUGUCAGGACUGGGGAUAUUUUGGUGUUGUUGUUCUGAGGAGCACUGAGUACUUUGAUGGCCCUAACUUGCAUGCCUUCUUGGGGUGGAGGAUGUUCUCCCUGAGCCCAGUUAAAAGAAGGUUUAGAGAGAGCUCUCGAGGAUGUCUUAGAGUCAGUGGGGAGGGCUGGGAUACUUUGGUGGCCCUCCUGUUCCAAGGAACUCUGAGUACUUUGAUGGCAUUAAUGUGGAUGCAUUCUUAGGGCAGAGAAUCUUCUCCCUGGGGCAAAUUAGAGGAGUAUUCAGAAACAACUGUGGUGGAUGUCUUAGACUCGGUUGGCAGAACUGGGCAUAUUUUGGUAUUCCUCCGAGGAGCACUAAGUACUUUCAUGGCACUAACUGUAUGUGUUCUUGUGAUAGAGCAUCUUCUCCCCAGGGCAAAUUAGAGUGGUGUUUUGAAACCAAUUUGGGGGAUGUGUCGGACUCAUAUGGCAGGACUAGGGAUACUUUGGUGGUCUUCCAAGGAGCAACUACUAUUUUGAUGGGACUAACUUGGAUGGCUUCUUGGGGUGGAGGGCCUUCUCUCUGAGCCCAAUUGAAAGAAGGUUGAGAGAGAACUCUCCAGGAUAUUUUGGAGUGAGAUGGCAGGGACAGGGAUUCUUUGACCAUCCUUUUCCAGGGAACACUGACUCCUUUGAUGGUCCAGACUCGGCUAGCUUCUUGGGGUGGAGCAUCUUUUCCCUGGGGCCAAUUAGAGUGUUCAGAAACAACUUUGGGAGAUGUCUUGGACUCAGUUGGCAUGACUGGGGAUACUUUCGUGUUCUUCCGAGGAGCACUGAAUAUUUUGAUGGCACUAACUUGCAUGACUUCUUGGAGUGGAGGACCCUCUCCCUGGGCCCAGUUGAAGGAAGGUUCAGAUAGAACUCUCGAGGAUGUCUCAGAAUCAGAUGGCAGAGCCGGGGACACUUUGGCCAUCCUCUUCCAAGGAGCACUGACUACUUUGAUGGCCCAGCCUGGGUUGAUGCUGGGUGAAUGUUUGGUGUUAAGAUAAUAGUAUCCAAGGAUUAGAGGGCAGAGAAACAGAGGCCAGAGACUCACCUUGCAGCAGGACGAAAAGAAGAGAAGUUGGUGCCUUUGGACUCGGACAAUCGAGGUUACAUCUUUGCGUGAGCCUGUGGCAAUUUGCCUGCUUCUUUCACUUCUCCUCCUAAAGACCAAGGACUUUUACUUAUCUUGACUCUGCCUGAUCCUGAAUCCAGCAAGCUGGUCUGGACUUAACAGGAAGUCAUAGAAGUGAACAACAAAGAAAUUACAAUAGAGAUUGUAAAUAUUGAAAACAAAUUGAACAUUGUGAAACAUAGCUUUUAAAGACAGAUCUGGAGAACAGAUUAGGAAUAGAAAAUUGAAGAACUGGACUUCCUAAACAUUUUGACCAAAAAAAGAACCUGAACACAAUAAUGCAAGAAAUAAUUGGUGAAUACUGUCCUGGAAUAAUAGGACAUGAGGGUAAAAUGUCACAAUAGGAAAAAAAAAUCCCCCAAUACCAUCUCAACGAAAUCCAAUGUGGAAAAUAUCAGAAUGUUAGUGCUAAAUUUAGAAACCCAUAGAUGAAAGGAAAAAUUUCAGAAGAAACAAAAACCAAUUCAUAUGAGAAGUACAAUUGGAAUUGAGCAAGACACAUCACUAGCUCCAGUAAAAGACUGGAAAUGACCUACUGAGUGCUGAUUCUGAGAGGGGAGGGCAGAGAGAGGGUGAGCAGAAUAGAAAAAGGACAAGGCAUCAUGGAGCAAGACCAAUUUAGGGGAGGGAAGGAAGACAGAAAGAGGAAUAAGAAUGAGAUAAAAGGGGAGGGAGGCAAAUGAGAGUAAGAGGAAGAAAAGAGUUAACACUGGAAAGAUUUCUUACAGUAUAUUUAAAAUUGUAUUUUUUUAAAUCUUGGAAUGAGUAUUUUUCCAAAUACAUGGAGAGAAUUAAACAUUUAUUUUUGUCAAACUUUGUGAUCCCCGUGUUUCCCCUACGCUCCCUCAACCCCACUCUUCCAAUGAAAGCAAGCAAUCUAAGUGAAAUACAACUCUUUUAUGCACUGAACCACAUUUCUCAGGUUGUGGAAGAAAAAAUGUAAUCCUGAGGCAAAAAAUAAAUAAAUAAAUAAUGAGAAAUCUGUGUGUGAUUCUCUGAUUCAAAUGGUAAUAGGAGACAUCUCGAGAUGCAAACAGAACACAGGGAUUCUAUCAAGUACGGGAGGUCCCAGCACAUUAAGGGGCAGCCAGCAUGGUGUGGAGCCCCAGCCCAGAAAGAAGGGAUGGAUGAAAGAGGAAAAGAUUCAUUGGAUAGAUGGAAAAGGAAGUAUCUACUGACCAAUGACCAGCAAUGCUGUCUCUUUCCUAGGGAUAAUGGGACUUCAAGAAACAUAGGCCUAGGAGCUGACCAUUUCUGCCCUGCAAUCCUCUGUGAAUAGCAG